UGUAACGCGUGGAUAACCUGCCUGACAGACCGGGAUAACGCCGGGAAACCGGUGCUAAUACCGGAUACGCUCCACAUUCUGCAUGGAAAGUGGAUGAAAGGAGCAAUCCGCUGACAGAUGGGUCCGCGUCCCAUUAGCUAGUUGGAGGGGUAACGGCCCCCCAAGGCGACGAUGGGUAGCCGGCCUGAGAGGGCGACCGGCCACACUGGAACUGAGACACGGUCCAGACUCCUACGGGAGGCAGCAGUGGGGAAUCUUCCGCAAUGGGCGCAAGCCUGACGGAGCAACGCCGCGUGAGUGACGAAGGUCUUCGGAUUGUAAAACUCUGUCCAGGGGGAAGAAACAAAUGACGGUACCCCUGGAGGAAGCCCCGGCUAACUACGUGCCAGCAGCCGCGGUAAAACGUAGGGGGCGAGCGUUGUCCGGAAUUACUGGGCGUAAAGGGCGUGUAGGCGGCGCUGCAAGUCAGUCGUGAAACCCGUCGGCUCAACCGGCGGCUGUCGAUUGAAACAGCAGAGCUUGAGUGCAGGAGAGGAGAGUGGAAUUCCCAGUGUAGCGGUGAAAUGCGUAGAUAUUGGGAGGAACACCAGUGGCGAAAGCGGCUCUCUGGCCUGUAACUGACGCUGAGGCGCGAAAGCGUGGGUAGCAAACAGGAUUAGAUACCCUGGUAGUCCACGCCGUAAACGAUGGGUGCUAGGUGUUGUGGGUAUCGACCCCCUCAGUGCCGCAGUUAACGCAAUAAGCACCCCGCCUGGGGAGUACGGCCGCAAGGCUGAACUCAAAGGAAUUGACGGGGGCCCGCACAAGCGGUGGAGUAUGUGGUUUAAUUCGACGCAACGCGAAGACCUUACCAGGUCUUGACAUCGC
rnacentral:rRNA from 1 species